rnacentral:rRNA from 1 species
GACGAACGCUGGCGGCGUGCUUAACACAUGCAAGUCGAACGGAAAGGCCCUGCUUUUGUGGGGUGCUCGAGUGGCGAACGGGUGAGUAACACGUGAGUAACCUGCCCUUGACUUUGGGAUAACUUCAGGAAACUGGGGCUAAUACCGGAUAGGAGCUCCUGCUGCAUGGUGGGGGUUGGAAAGUUUCGGCGGUUGGGGAUGGACUCGCGGCUUAUCAGCUUGUUGGUGGGGUAGUGGCUUACCAAGGCUUUGACGGGUAGCCGGCCUGAGAGGGUGACCGGCCACAUUGGGACUGAGAUACGGCCCAGACUCCUACGGGAGGCAGCAGUGGGGAAUAUUGCACAAUGGGCGGAAGCCUGAUGCAGCGACGCCGCGUGAUUUAGAAGGCCUUCGGGUUGUAAAAAUCUUUUGUAUAGGAAGAAAAUGACAGUACUAGACGAAUAAGGUCCGGCUAAUUACGUG